GACGAACGCUGGCGGCGUGCUUAACACAUGCAAGUCGAACGAUGAAGCUGGAGCUUGCUCCGGUGGAUUAGUGGCGAACGGGUGAGUAACACGUGAGCAAUCUGCCCUUGACUCUGGGAUAACUGCGGGAAACUGUAGCUAAUACCGGAUACGAGGCUCGAAGGCAUCUUCGGGUCUGGAAAGAAUUUCGGUCAAGGAUGAGCUCGCGGCCUAUCAGCUUGUUGGUGAGGUAAUGGCUCACCAAGGCGACGACGGGUAGCCGGCCUGAGAGGGUUACCGGCGACACUGGGACUGAGUCACGGCCCAGACUCCUACGGGAGGCAGCAGUGGGGAAUAUUGCACAAUGGGCGAAAGCCUGAUGCAGCAACGCCGCGUGAGGGAUGAAGGCCUUCGGGUUGUAAACCUCUUUCAGCGGGGAAGAAGCGAAAGUGACGGUACCUGCAGAAAAAGCACCGGCUAACUACGUGCCAGCCGCCGCCGUAA
rnacentral:rRNA from 1 species